AUUGAACGCUGGCGGCAGGCCUAACACAUGCAAGUCGAACGGUAACAGGAAGAAGCUUGCUUCUUUGCUGACGAGUGGCGGACGGGUGAGUAAUGUCUGGGAAACUGCCUGAUGGAGGGGGAUAACUACUGGAAACGGUAGCUAAUACCGCAUAACGUUGCAAGACCAAAGAGGGGGACCUUCGGGCCUCUUGCCAUCGGAUGUGCCCAGAUGGGAUUAGCUAGUAGGUGGGGUAACGGCUCACCUAGGCGACGAUCCCUAGCUGGUCUGAGAGGAUGACCAGCCAACCUGGAACUGAGAAACGGUCCAGACUCCUACGGGAGGCAGCAGUGGGGAAUAUUGCACAAUGGGCGCAAGCCUGAUGCAGCCAUGCCGCGUGUAUGAAGAAGGCCUUCGGGUUGUAAAGUACUUUCAGCGGGGAGGAAGGGAGUAAAGUUAAUACCUUUACUCAUUGACGUUACCCGCAGAAGAAGCACCGGCUAACUCCGUG
rnacentral:rRNA from 1 species